UAACUUACAAAGGGCUUCAGGUCAGCACUUAGAGCCUUCAAAGUUCUAUACAAAGAAUUCUUUAAGUCCUA
rnacentral:tRNA from 1 species